rnacentral:rRNA from 1 species
CUCUUCUUGUAUUCGAUAUGAAGUAUGACCUGCCCAAUGAAUUUUGAAUGGCCGCGGUAUUUUGACCGUGCAAAGGUAGCAUAAUCAUUAGUCUUUUUAUUGAGGACUGGAAUGAAUGGUUUGACGAGACAAAAUCUGUCUUUACUUUAUUUAUUAAAAUUUAAUUUCUGAGUAAAAAAGCUUAGAUGAGAUUAUGGGACGAGAAGACCCUAUAGAGUUUAUAUAAUUAUAUUUAUACUGAUAAAUAGUGUGUAAAUUUAUAGUGAAUAUAUUUAUUUAGUUGGGGUGAUUAGAAGAUAAAAGUAACUCUUCUUAAUUAAUUAAUACUUAUUAGUAAUAUUUUGAUCCAUUAAUAAUGAUUAAAAGACUAAAUUACCUUAGGGAUAACAGCGUAAUCUUAUUUGAGAGUUCUUAUUAACAAUAAGGGUUGCGACCUCGAUGUUGGAUUAAGAUAAAUUCUAGGUGUAGAAGCUUAGAUGUAUAGGUCUGUUCGACCUUUAAAUUCUUACA